rnacentral:ncRNA from 1 species
CAGACUUAUCGGCACUCUGGUUUGGGUGCUACGGCACCCGAUUAAAAGGGAACGCAGUGCGAGACUGCGGCUGCCCCCGCAACUGUGAGCGGAGAGCGAAGCCCUGAUAUGCCACUGUCGCGACGGCGAUGGGAAGGUGGGGCCAAGCGUUGACCCGCGAGCCAGGAGACCUGCCAGAGCGAUCACCCAUUU